CGUUCUAUGGCCGAAUUGGUAAAGGCAUCGCUGAUCACAGGCGAAGUUGCGGGUUCGAGUCCUGUUGGAAAGA
rfam:Operophtera brumata OBRT01_Sc01167, whole genome shotgun sequence.